rnacentral:rRNA from 1 species
UACAGAGGUCCCGAGCGUUGUUCGGAUUCACUGGGCGUAAAGGGUGCGUAGGUGGUGAGGUAAGUCGGAUGUGAAAUCUCCGAGCUCAACUCGGAAAUGGCAUUGGAAACUACCUUGCUUGAGGGUUGGAGGGGGGACUGGAAUUCUUGGUGUAGCAGUGAAAUGCGUAGAUAUCAAGAGGAACACCAGUGGCGAAGGCGAGUCCCUGGACGAUACCUGACACUGAGGCACGAAAGCCAAGGGAGCAAACAGG